AGCAUUUAAUGCUAUAAAUUUCCCUUGAAACACUGCUUUUUUAGCUGCAUCCCACAGAUUUUAUGUUACAUAUUCAUUUUUGUUCCGCUCAAAAUACUUUACUUCCCUUAAAAUUUUCUCUUUGACUCACAGAUUAUUUAUACAUGUGUGGAUUAAUUUCCAAGUACUUAGGGAAGUUUCCAGUUAUUUUUCUGUUAGUAAUUUUUAGUUUAAUUCCAUUAUGGUCAGAAAACAUACUUUAUGUGAGUUUAAUCUUUUUAUUGAGGUAUGCUUUAAGACACAGGAUAUAGUCUACCUUGAGGAAUUUUCCAUAUGUGGAAAGAAAGCAUACUUUGCUAUUGUUGAAAAUCCUAUAAAUGUCCGUUAGAUUCAGGUCAAGCAAUGUCUGGAAGACUGGAGGAGAAAGUGAUAAACUCACAGUCAGUUGUAUCAUAUCAUACAUCUAAUUCUAAUAUUAUUCCUCAAUACACUGUGAUUUACUUUUUAGGGUCCUCAAAUAGCUGCUGCAUGCAUUCUCUCCAUGUUUUGGAGCUACACUCAGUGGGAGAGGCAGUGUGGAAUGUGCUUUCUUCAUCUUAUCUGGAAUUGGAACUUGUUGAUAACCUUUAAUUCAGCCAUCUGACUCUGGAGAAGCCGUUCUUAGGUGAUAAUCUAGAAGAAAUGCAUGCAUAUGUGUUUUCCUAAUAGCAAUAUUUAGAAAUAACUUAUAUGGCCAAACUCUGAGAGGAGUAAAUGCAUCAUACAAUAAAAUAUAGCUUAGCUAUAGGGUAGCUAUAUAGAAGUAAAGAAGAGUGUCUGAGAAAUGAUGCUGAGUGAAACAAACUUGGAUCAGCAUUAUUUAAGAAAAAUUCUACCAGUGGGAAAAAAUACAUGUAUAUAUAAGGAAUAUAUAAGGAGUAGUUGAAAAUAGUUCUGAAAAUUCUAAUUUUUUUCUAUUAGAGAAAAAUCAUCUAUUUGCUAACAAGGAAUAAAAAGGAAUUUUUAAUUGAAGAAUUAGAGUAGACCUUGAUCUUUUGCAGAAAUGCAAAGAUAUCUGAGUCACACAACUUAGACAAUUAACAUCUUCUAGAAAGAAGUGUCAGUGUUGUGUUUCCAUUUUAUUAGUGGUUGCCACAUUCUUUCUUGUCUUCAAGUUUCAUGCCAGGAGGCAGAAAUAUUUCCUUGAUGUUGUGGGAAUCUGUGAGAAACAUGGUAACACAUUUGAUUGUCAUGCUCCAACUAGCUGUGGGCAGAAGCCCAUAUUCCAGGGUUGUACAGAAGCUUUCAUCUAUGAAUGUGGCCUCACCAUCUUCACUGGCCUUGUCUUGUUUGUCAACAGCUGCUGCUGUUGCUGCAUGGAAACACUCAGCUAUCUUCAUGACAAAUAGCUCAAAGUGCUCAGUGAGACCCUCUUAGAAUGAUCUAUUUGGUCAAAGAGCUCAUUAUCUGCAGGUGAUAACAGAUACAUGUGGGACUGAUGUAAGUCACUUUCAGGAACUCCUUGACAAGCUUAUCAAGGAGCCUGGAUGUGUUCUGAGGUGGAAGACUUUCAAAAGCUUUUGUUACAUAGACAUCACCAAGAAUUUUUUGAGUUUCUUCAGUUCCAAAGAGGUUAGUUUCUGAUAGCAUCACACCCAGCACUUUUUCAAGCUCUUCUACCACGCUGAUUCUCCAGAAGGGUGAGGAGAAGUCAACCCAUAAGUUUGGUUUUCUGAGCCAUCUGGAUGGUGGGUGACCUUGUAACCACCUGUGAUGCGCUUCAUCCCUGACAUAAUCUUAUCUUGGAUUUCAAUGAGAUCAUGAUAGUCUGCACAGACCAUGUAGGGUAGCAAAUCAAAUACAUUCUCUUAUUCCUUAACUGGCAUCCAAUUGCAUAAAUCCAGUCAAUGCUACUAACCAGCAUCUUAAGGUAGAGCCCUGGAGCAAUUCUCAAAUACAAGUUAAUGCCCAGCUUGUUGUGGCAGGUGAUGAAAGGCUUAGCCCCUGCUACCCCGGGAUGACGUUCAUCAUGAGGGUUUCAAUGUCUAGAAAUCUCAACUCAUCCAAAAACCUUCUCACAUAUGUGGUGAUCUUAGGGUAGAUGAUACACUGGUUUCUCAGAAAGUCACUCAGGAUCAAGCCCAAGUACUCAAAUAAUAUUGGGUCUCCUUUUCUUUGAGGCUAAAGUAAGGAUGGGGCAACCUGUGAGCCAGGAGACAGCCGUGCAAUUUUGCAAGGGCUGAUGCUGAGCUCACCCUUCUUGCUGUUUCCCAGAUUUUCCUGGACUCUGAGUAUGUCUCCCUGAGGCAGUUUAUUCAUUGACUUAUAAUUCCUAGACCUGGCCAUAAUUGCAACUUCACCCUGGUCCGUGGGGGUCACCAGAAGAUGAACUUUCCCCAGCUCUUUUGGCAUGGAUCUUCAGGGUGACAUCAGUCAGGUGGCCCCAGGCUGCAGGCGACUGCACUCCUGGAUGAAGCAAGUGAGUGAUGUCCACAUGGAAGCUGCAGGGGCCUUCCCCAGUAACCUUCGGCGGUGGCCUGCGCUGGGGGAACCUGUAAGGGGACUCCGAGUUUCCAUUCGAGGCCAUAGUCAGUGGUGUGGCUGACGGCACCAGCCGCGGCCGGCCUAGCUGUUGCUCACUGAGCUCCGGCUUGGCCCCCUUGAGGCUACUUUCUUCUCUUCAGCUCAUUCCUGUCAGUUGGGGAUCACCGCCGCCCACUUCCGCUUCGGAGCCCUGUCCUGCAGGCACCUUUCCUGAGGCCUGGGGUGAGGAAUUCGAGACCCCUCAGCCAUUUCCAGGUUCGACCGCAGCCCCGCCCGCCUCGUCAGGGGAGAGGGGGCUGGCGCCAUCCGCGCGGAGCUGCUGCGGCUGCGUAAUCGCGGCCUGGUGUCAGCGCGUUCCUCCUACUGCGCAGGCGCAGUGCUGGGUUCGCGGCCCAGCCUCAGUGCUAGUCCUCCUGCUGCGCAGGCGCAGUACUGGGCUCGUGGCCUGGCGUAGGUUGUGCGCCUGCGCGCUGGCGCUCUAGGCUGUGGCUCUCAGCAACUACGGAGGGCAAGGCCGGAGGCGGGCUGGGGGCGUGGGAGGGCACGAUCUCAACUCACUGCAACUCGGCGAGGCACUGGCCGAGGCCAUGAUUAUUGGUUUUUAGGUUAGCAUUUUAUUAUUAAAUGGACUUAACUCUGGCAGAAGCCCUGUGACCGUCAAGGGACUUGGGCGCAUCCCUCCCCGCUGAGUCCUCGCUGGGAAGGAGUCAGCGCGGGGGCAGCACUGAUGUCCCUGUGGACAGGACUCUGCCCCGGAAAGCCCCCGCGCGCUGCCCCUUCCUCCAGGCCGUCCCCUGGAGCUUGGGCCAGCCAAGGGCUGUGGUCUGAGCUCCUUCCCCACAGCCCAGCCCCAGCUCUUACCGUCUUGUCGCUGUCCUCGAAGACCUCGCGGGCCUCUUCGUAUGAGCAGGUCUCUUCCAUGCACUCUCUUUCAAGGUUUCCUUUCUUCAUCUCUUCAAGAAAGGAAUUGGACCUCCUGACCCUCGCCAGGACGUUGUUGGCCUGCUCCCUGCGGAUGAACACUGGAAGGCAGGAAGGACAGGGUUAAAAGCUCCGGUCGCCCUCACCCAGCGCCGAACCCCUCUCUGACAUUACGUGCUGACAGGCUCAUCCUUCCCUCCGCUGGAAAAAGACGUGGCGCGUUUGGUCCCAGCUGUUUCCCCGUGCCUAGCACGGCCGGAACUUAACCAAUAUGUGCUGAGGGAAUGAAGGAAAGACUGCACACCUGGCUCGGCCCUCUGGACUGAACCUGGGCGCUUCUGCUAUGGCUGAGUCGCAUCAAUGCUUCAUUCAGACUGAGCAGGCCAGGCCUUGGCCACGUGGCCACACUUUCUGAUGUGAAUAAAAUGGGAUUGGCAAAACGAAA